rnacentral:rRNA from 1 species
GAUGAACGCUAGCGGCAGGCUUAACACAUGCAAGUCGAGGGGCAGCGGUCUGUAGCAAUACAGAAGUCGGCGACCGGCGGAAGGGUGCGUAACGCGUGAACAACAUGCCCGUCACAGGGAGAUAAUCCAUGGAAACGUGGUCUAAUAUCGCAUAGAUUGUACAGCAGACAUCUGUGGUACAAGAAAGCAGCGAUGCGGUGACGGAUUGGUUCGCGUAACAUUAGUCAGAUGGUGAGGUAACGGCCCACCAUAGCUACGAUGUUUAGGGGUCCUGAGAGGGAGGUCCCCCACACUGGAACUGAGACACGGUCCAGACUCCUACGGGAGGCAGCAGUGAGGAAUAUUGGACAAUGGAUGGAAAUCUGAUCCAGCCAUGCCGCGUGCGGGAAGAAGGUCCUAUGGAUUGUAAACCGCUUUUGUACGGGAGCAAUAAGAUCUACGAGUAGAUUGAUGAGAGUACUGUACGAAUAAGCAUCGGCUAACUCCGUG